AGUGAACGCUGGCGGUAUGCCUAACACAUGCAAGUCGAACGGCAGCACAGUAAGAUCUUGCUCUUACGGGUGGCGAGUGGCGGACGGGUGAGGAAUACAUCGGAAUCUACUUUUUCGUGGGGGAUAACGUAGGUAAACUUACUCUAAUACCGCAUACGACCUACCGGUGAAAGCAGGGGAUCUUCGCGGCUUUCGCGAUUGAAUGAGCCGGUGUCGGAUUAGCUAGUUGGCGGGGUAAAGGCCCACCAAGGCGACGAUCCGUAGCUGGUCUGAGAGGAUGAUCGGCCACACUGGAACUGAGACACGGUCCAGACUCCUACGGGAGGCAGCAGUGGGGAAUAUUGGACAAUGGGCGCAAGCCUGACCCAGCCAUACCGCGUGGGUGAAGAAGGCCUUCGGGUUGUAAAGCCCUUUUGUUGGGAAAGAACAGCAGCAGGUUAAUACGCCGCUGUUCUGACGGUACCCAAAGAAUAAGCACCGGCUAACUUCGUG
rnacentral:rRNA from 1 species